UACGAAUGUAUAUAUAUGUAAAGGGGCGCAGCAUUGGAAGGCAUGGGAAAAUUGUAUAGAAAGACCAGGGUUCACAGCUGGAGGGGAAACUACAGAGUAGAUAGACAGAAGGGAACGUCGCGUCAUGUCGAGACGCACGUUGGACGCUCCGUUGAAGCGAAGAGAGGUAAGCAGCAGAGUUGGGAAUCGGAGGGUCUCGGAAGAUGAGUGGGGCACCGCACUGCAGAGUGAAGGGAAAACCAGAGAGGCGAACAGCGAGGCGGCGAGCCAUACCUGCGCUGCCUCUACCGCUUCAGACUUGAGGGUUAAGGCCCGUUACGCAACGUAAUAACACAGUGAAUUUUUUUUUUUUUAAAAACGUCGUCCAGGUACAAACCAGUCGGAAACUCGGUACACACUUGUAUAACCAAUGAAAAUUUUCUUGUCAUUUGUUUUAUACUUAUAUUUUAUUCAAUGUCUAUUUCAUUAGUCAUCUACUUAUUAACGUAAAUAAAUUCUUCAGCAGCUUCAUCAUUGUUUCAAAAUUCAACGUUCUUCAUAGUAAAACAAUAGUAAGCAAUAGCAAUAUCGCUCAGAAUAUAUAGGAUAUAUAAAUACAAAGAAGAAAGCAACAUUAUGUCUGAAUACGCAAACAACAGGUCACUAAGCAUGUAAUAAAUUGUCAUGUUUUCGCUCCAUAAAGUAGAGAAAUUCUGAUAACAGUCAACGGUCGUUAUCAACUCACAGCGACUUUAAGUUAAAAUAUUUCAAUUCAAUCCUUAGAUAUGUAGGUACUACUAAUUGUAAAUAAAACCCAAGUAUACACAUGUACAUCAAUGCUUUCUGAUACUCUUUGUGUGUGCAAGCGUAUAUCGUAUAUACAGCGUUGCCGAAUUUCUAUCAAGCAGAGAAAAAUGGCCUCCGACCAGGCAUGGAGGGAAACGGGGAGUAAAAAAGAAGUGAACAUAGAGAGGGGAGAAAGGGAGAGAUAAGAGAAGAGAGUUGGGAAAAGAGAGAGACAGAAGCCAGUAUAUAAGUAAGAGAGACGCGUGAAAGCCUCUGAUACAGUGUGCAAAGGAGGGGACAAGGUGAAGAGGAGGAUACUCGACUCAGUAGCGUAACUAUCAUAAAUUCUUGGAAAAAUUACGAAACAAUGUACCCAAGUAGAAAACAUGGGUAUAGUGUCAAAGUUUAGAAAAAAGAAAUUCGAAAAUUUAAUACAAUUGUAAAAACUAUUUUUAAUUUAUUAUUUAAUUUAAAUGUAAAUUUACGUAUAAAUGUAAGAACUAUUGAAUAUAAUGACUAUUGAUGCAUUAUAAAGCAAGACAAAAAGGAAAUUUAAGACAAUGUAUAAAAACGAACAAAAAUAUUUUAAUUAAGUAUAUAUGUAUUAUAGUAAAAUAUUGUAAUUAAGUAUGUAUGUAUAACGUAUAUAAUUAUGUAUAUUAAUAUUAUCUUGUAUAGAAGACUAUCUGUGAUUAAUAUAUCAAUGUAUUCACAAAUAUUUUUCGCUGUAUGUGUUAAAGUAACAAAAAUUAUGCAUUUUGGCAAACCUAUAAUUUAUAACAUUAAUUUUUAAUAAUCUCAAAAAUAUUUUAUCGCUAUGUAUUCAUAAACUGUAUUAGUAUAAAACUAAAUGACGAUUACGGUCAAUCAAUAGUUAAUAAUAUCAGCUUGAAUAGUUUUUUGCAGUCUUUAUGUUGUACUGAACAUAUUAUUCAGAAAAAUAAAAGUGUACUACUGAAAAGAAGUUCUCGUUUACCCUGCUGCAGCGGAUAUUUUUUUGUGAAUGCUUGAGAAGGGAAUCGAACGAUCGUGUUUCCCCUCUCUUGAUUACGCCACUGGCUCGACCCAGCGAGGCAGCACGGACAACCGGGUGCGCUGUUGCCAAGCGGAAAUCACAGACCUACGGCAUUUUCUUCUUCCACGAAGAGGAAGACGAAGACAAGUAUUCGUUUGCCGUGUUGCCUUCUGCAUCAACCAAGCUCAAAGACAACCAUCUCCAUAAUUGUGCGUCAAUUUAUUAAUCUUAUUUAACAAUACUAUCCUCAAUAUAAACUAUCAGUAGUAUCGAUCGAUGUAGUAAACGAUCUGUACAUCAUCUGUACUACCAUCACCAUCAUUAACGUUAAUCAACGUUAAAAAAUAUUUUUGUCGAUUGGUCCAUGUCUUUUUCAGACACAGCGAGAUACUGUCUCAGAAGUAAAACGCCUUUUAAAGUAACAGAUUAAACAUACGCUUUUGUUUAAAAAAAGAAGUAUGUUCUGACGAUAUCCGACUUAACGACCUCGAAAAAAUCACGUAAAUCGCGGUUUUAUAAAAUUUCUUCGUGACGAUUUUCAAGUGAAGGAGAAUUAAAGCAACCAUUGUACAUUAUAAAAAGAAGAGUUUGUACGUGAGUGCUUAUUCCCCGUUAAUGUCGUUAGCGUAUCGAGACAAGAAUAUCGAUGGAGCAAUACCACAGUGGUCAGUUUCGACAAAUCCAUGUUGAAAAAAAAGUCAAUAUGAAAUGGAGGUCGAUAGCGUGAUGACCUCGAAGCCAAUCGGGAAUUUUACAAUGCCGUGGCCUCUCGCACGAAAGAUACAUGCUGGUGGUAUAUAUAUAAGGAUGCUCUGUUGCCACGUCUUGAUUCAAUAUAGACUACAGACCAAUAAAAUAAGUUUUCCUUACGCUGCACUAUUGAUAAAUCUGAAGGCAACGUCAGUGAUAUGAGCAUAUCUCUUUACUUUACGUGAACCACUCGCUUUAGUCCUCUCAUGAGGCGAUCAAAAUUAAUAUGUAUUAUUAUAUGUUUGUACGUACAUAGUACUAUAUUAUAUACAUACUAUGUAUGUAUAUUCAAUUUGGAUUGUCCGCGACUAGACCAACUAUUAAUCGAUAACUGAACUUGUAGCAUUAAAAAUUGAAUAGCUUUGGCAGGAAAAAUUAAUUACAAUUUAUUUCAUUUAAAGAAUUACACAAUAAAGAUAUACUUGACUUAGGAAAAUCUUUUUCUUAGGCGUUCUCUAUUGCAUGCAUGUGACUUAAGAAUAAAAACUACAACGCGAAUAACGACUAUCAACAGGUUUAAGGACUGGUGCAAAUAAAUGAUGCAACAUGGUAUGGUUACGAUUCCGCAUUAGUGACACUGUACGCUUCAGCAGAUUUAUAUUUCUAAUAAGAGAAUCAUUCACUUGUUUGUAUUGCACCAUUCGAAGGAUGAAUCUUCUUAAAAUUGUGGCGAUGUAUACACAUCGCUACUUGCCUAGAUCGGGCAUAAUAUGUGAUAGAAAUAUGACAACCACGCGACAAAUGUAAAAUCGUUCUAGGAUCUGUUUUGACAAUUACAUUUUCAAGGAAAUUAGGAAAUCACAAAUAUAUCAAAUGUAUACGAUCAACUUUCUGCGAGGUAGAAGAUAUUAAGACUAUAUUGUAUCGAAAACGAACGAUGCAAAGGAGAAACAAAUAAUAUUUCUUUAUCUAUUUAGAUAUUUUUACUCUUCACUAAACUUUUGUGAAGAUCAUCGUCGAUGUUUCACGGUCUAUAUCAUACAAACAUUAAAAUUUUGAUUGUUACAUUAGAUUAUAUUGUUUUGUAUGCACGUAUGUAAUAUUAUAAUUAGAAGUAUAUAUAAUGUACGCGCACAUUAGAGAUUUAAUUCUUCCACGAUCAAAUAAUAAUCUUAACAUAGAAAGGGCAAGUCUAACGUGUGCAUACGUAUGUAGGGACAUAGAUAUAUCAUGAUCAUAGAUAAGGUAAAAUUGAGGAGAAUACUCCACACUUUAAUUUGUCCCUCUAUUUCAAAUGGAGUAGGUUUUGUAUAAUUUGUUCAUAAAAUAAAGAAUAAAAUGAAAAUAAACUCCAGUUUAAAUGGAAAUCCGAGGAAAAUAUACCAAACAGUUUCGCAUGCAAAAUAUUAAAUUCAAAUGGAAACUUUUAAAAAGAUGCUAUUUGAAUUACAUUGAAUUAAAUGAAAUUGUAUCAAGAGAAAAUUUGAUGUUUUUCCUAAACCGUUUUAAAUCAAACCGUUAUUUGUAUAAUAUGUAUAUGCACAUAUGUACAUAUGUUCUAUAUGUAUAUACAUAUAUAACAUGUCUAUAUUUUUCAAUUUUACCAAUUUCUGUGAUUAAACCAUAAAGGAACAAAACUGCUUACAUGGUCAGUAUCUACUACUCAUAUGUUCCAUGACUACUUUACUCAUGUGUUUGUAUUUUACGUAUUUAUCGGAAACUUAAAUAUGUAAAUACUUGUUCAAUUGUGUACAUAAAAAUAUAAAAAUAUAAAUCUGCAUAAAUAUUCACAAUCUACGAAUGAAUAUUGGUAAACUAGCAUACGAAAUUAAAACAUGUACAUCUGUUAGAGGGCAGCACAAGAUAGUUACAGAUCAAAAAUGAACAAGAGCGCUGCGAGCAAACCGGUCGACGUGUUCUUGAUACGAAGGUCUCAUGAAGUACAAAUUUUAUACUUAAUGUUUGUUAUAAUAAAAAUUACUCGAAUAAUAUACAAGUUGUACUUAAUACAA